rnacentral:rRNA from 1 species
AUUGAACGCUGGCGGCAGGCCUAACACAUGCAAGUCGAGCGAGCGGCUGUCGGGUGAGUAAUGCCUGGGAAUUGCCCAGUCGAUGGGGAUAACAGUUGGAAACGACUGAUAAUACCGCAUACGAUUGGAGUGCUCAGGUGGGAUUAGCUAGUUGGUGAGGUAAUGGCUCAACAAGGCGACGAUCCCUAGCUGCACUGAGAGGAUGAGCAGCCAAACUGGGACUGAGACACGGUCCAGACUCCUACGGGAGGCAGCAGUGGGGAAUAUUGCACAAUGGGGGAAACCCUGAUGCAGCAAUGCCGCGUGGGUGAAGAAGGCCUUCGGGUUGUAAAGCACUUUCAGCGGGGAGGCGGUACUCGAAGAGGAAGCACCGGCUAACUCCGUGCCAGCCGCCGCGGUAAUAC